GGGGCCUGGGAGGCCACAUUCCAGGAUUCAGUUCCAGAGUGUGGAGUCUUCUCCAUAGCUGGAAGCCUUGGAAGCCGCAUUCCAGGAUUCAGUUCGAGUGUAGGAACCUCGGAAGCCACUUUCUAGGAUUCGGUUCCACAGUGCGGAGGAGACUUCUCCAUAAGUGGGAGCCUGGGAAGCCGCAUUCCAGGGAGGGACAGGCCCGGGACAGCUCACACCUGCCCUCCAGGCCCUGGGCUGUAGGGCUACCUCGCCUGGCCAUGUGCUGGAGGUGCUUUGCAGUGACCCAUCAGGGACAUGGAAGCAGGUCCACCUGAUAGAUGCACGGCCUCCUGCUUGAAGAGCCAACCACACUCCAUGCGGGACAGCACAGCAGCCCUUGGUAGGCAGGAGCCACAGACAGAGGGGUCUGGCCCUGGGAUGCCCACCGUGCCUUUGGGGAGGAGUUGGGAGGACAAGGCAGUGCAGUCCUUCCAGCCCCAGCUACCGCACAGAGAAGACACAGGCUGUGGCGUCACUGGCCACAGAGACGGCCACAGUGGAGGGAGGGCUGAGCCUGGGUCUGUGAAGGAGAAGGCAGUGCCUGCUUGUGUGCCUUGGCUUCCCCAGGACUGAUGGCCUCCCAGUCAGGGACUUCUGGGUCUGCUUCUAAAAAACCCACCGAGGCCCAGGAGAGGCAAGCGUGCCCAGAGCACCCAAAAUGGGGCUUGCCCUCCACAAACCGGACAAGGAUCUCUACACCAGGGAAAGCAGGUGCUGCCAUAGGCAUGGAGCCACAAGCAGACCUCACAUGGGAGGGGACGGGCAUUGCAGGACAGGACGGGGCCAAGGAGAAGGGGGCCAGGGCCGCACCCCCAAUCAUGGGCUCCCAGGGACACCCCUGCCGGGAACCUACAGGGUCCCCAUUUGUCUGUCCCUGGAGCUGUUCAGGAAGCCGUGUGUGUCCAGAGCUCUUCAUCUGCGUGCAGCUGGGGCUGCUGGGGCUGCCAGCAGUGGGUCCCCCCUGGCCUGAGGGCCUGGACAGGGCAGGAGCGGCUCCCUGGCCCCCACUGUCCUUUGCGUCCUCCCUCACCAGCGUCACCCUGGGCAUGUGCCACCAGACCUCGUCCUCCCCCAUCCCUGCAGGAGGCCCAGUGUGGGUUUAGGGCACUGGAAAGGAGCCGAGAGUUUGCCAAUCAGAAACAGGUGGUGUAGGGGCCUUUCUCCCAUCCCCAAGUCUAGAAUCAGUUAACUAAUACAGCAGGAGAAGGCACCCGCCCGGCUUCCAUCAGGGAAGGAGACACCACAGAGGAGCAGGCCCCACCUGGAUAAUGUCCGCCAGCUUCUGCAGUCCGGCCGUGUUGGUGAACACUCCAGCACCUGGAGGGCAGUAGGGAGCUGACACCCACACUGCAGGCAGGGGAGGCCCCGACCCCAGCCCUGGUCCCUCCAGCAUGAGCCAGCUCAGCCCGACUGCCAAGCUCCAUCUCCUGCCCAAUGGGGGGCCCAGGGUGGAGCGCAGCAUCCAUUCAGGGCGGGCAGUUCGCCUGCUCUUCCCAGCAGCCAGGAGAGAAGCCAGGCAGGGACAGAGUCUCCAAGGGGGUCAGUGGGACUUGAAAAGAGGCUCUAUGGUCGCCUAAGGGUUGAAGCAGCAAAAGCCACCCUCCCCAGCACCCAGGAGCACAGCAGAGACACCCCGCUGGGCCCGGCGCCUCAAACCAGACAGCACCCGGGGGUGCA
rnacentral:lncRNA from 1 species